AACUGAACAAGAUCCACCCGUGUAUGGCAUGUAAUCUGGAUUGUUUGUCCUAUUUUCUGAUGCUUUUUCGGAUCUUUUUUUCCAAUCUUCUUUUAACCAAAUUUCUAUCAUUUCACUCCAUACUUCCGCAGAAAGGUAUAUCGGUGGAAAUCUAGCGCAAGAUCUGGUUAGUGUGUCAACUUUUGCCAAUUUUUUUGCCUCUUAUCUCGCUUUAUACAACCAACAUGUAUAAUUUAGUUGUACAUAAUUAUCAAAACAUUCACGAGCCAAUUGAAUGUCCUCAAAUGAGAAAUAGCACUACAUAAAGACAAAAACAUUACAUAUGGAAAAAAAUGACAUAUGGAAAAAAUGACAAAUAAAUAAAUCAUACCAGAAAUUUGACGAAAAUAUUUUCUUUUUCCUCUUCUUUCCAAGAAGUCCAUUUAGUUAAAGGUGACGUUAUAUUACCUUUUACUAAUAUUCCUAUUUGACUUCUUACAUUGUUUGUAAAAGUCCUAUAAAAAACAAUCAAAUUAAAUAAUAAAAUAUAAUGAAUUAUAAUGAAAAUACUCACCCGCUCUUAAGAAUAGUGGCGGGAGUUGGUGCAUCCGGUUGUCUCAAUCCUU
rnacentral:lncRNA from 1 species